rnacentral:rRNA from 1 species
AACGUAGGACGCAAGCGUUAAUCGGAAUUACUGGGCGUAAAGCGUGCGCAGGCGGUUUUGUAAGUUUGUCGUGAAAGCCCCGGGCUCAACCUGGGAAUGGCGAUGAAGACUGCAAGGCUUGAAUCUGGCAGAGGGGGGUAGAAUUCCACGUGUAGCAGUGAAAUGCGUAGAGAUGUGGAGGAACACCGAUGGCGAAGGCAGCCCCCUGGGUCAAGAUUGACGCUCAUGCACGAAAGCGUGGGGAGCAAACAGG